UUUCAAUUGCCGUUAUUCAAUUUGAAUUUCCUUUCCCCAAAUCAUAGAUCCCCAAAUGAAGGAACCAAUUCCCGUCGGCACCCUUCCGCCUUUCUCACGCCGGAGACUACACUCCAUCACCGGUCCGAUUUCUCCCCAAACAAUUCGACGCAGCCUCCGUUCGGUCGAUUAAAGCUAUUUUGAAUUCCUCCCAAAUUUCAAUUCCGCCUGACCAUGACCGCCCACCGCUACUGCCGUCGGUCAAUAGCAGCCGGCACUGACUCUCCUUUGCGCAUACACUCGCUGGACUCGCUUGCAGACAGCGGCCUCCGUCCCUUCGGAGCCGCUCCCUCCGUUCCAGUUGCACUCUCCUCGGUCUGGAAUCGCUGACGUCGCGCACACCAGCCGCCGCGUCGCAAGGCUGUCAUGCCAUCAGUCCAUCCGUCGGAUAUCAGGUGCUGCCGAGCGGUGAGAGGCACUCGAGAAUCCACCGAGCAGUCGCUGCCGUCGGGGUCUCACUUCGGUCGGUGUCAUUCUCCAACCAUAUCGGCUGCACUGUCAAUUUCGUUGGACUGCCGUGGACUUCUCGGCUUAGGUUGACUUGGAAAAAUUUGCAAGGAAUCUUCCUCUUCACCUUAUCGCAGCGAUUAUGGUUUGGGAAAGGGAAAAAUCCACGUUCAAGUAUUUGCUAUGUGGAAUUCUUCAGUUGCAUUCCAUGUGUGAUCUUGCCUCCCGGGUGCCCAAAAUUGAACAGAUAUUGCUUGAUGAUGUGAAGAUAUCGGAAGAACAACUGAUUGACCUGGUCUUUUAUCUGCUAGUUCUACUUGGAGCAUACAUACAGAUUGCAGUCUACAAUUGUUGACGGUCAUUGUUUCUUCACAGUACCAAGAGGUUGCUCUAGCAUUGACUGCAUAUUACAAGUGGAGUUGGUGGCAGGUGUACAUAUGCAAAGAGGCAGCAUUUGCUGCUGUUUGUGUAGAAGUCAAGUAUCUGUGGACCAAUGAUUCAUCUAGAAGUGUAUCCCCUAACUGAAGAGACCUUGAAUCACCUCGGCUGCAGUGUGAUUCUUCUCUUCAAUUUCUACAGUCCCUGUGUCAGCAAAAGUUGUUUCGGGAAUGCAUUGUUAACAAACAGGUUAUUUAUAAGUCAAUUUGAGUCCCGAAUCGUUCGUGCUGCAUCAGAAGAUCAUUUAUUCCAUGAGCUUGGGAAGCGGUGGAUUGCAGGAGCAACUAGCUUCCUGUGUUGGACUCGGCCCUGAUGAAAAAAGGAGUAGCUCUACUUCUCAUUUUUGUAGUCGUCAAAAUCAUGGUCUUUGAGGAUUCUGGAAAGACUUUCUGUUUGAGUCAGAUUGCAGAGCUGCUGUGUACCAAUCCUGUUGCGUUUGAGGCUACUGAGAUAAUUCAGCAUAUUCUUGUGCUACUCUUAGUCGAUUUGAAGGCCUCUCUAAGCAUUUAGAUUCGUUCUUGCAAAUGUUAUCUCUCGUGGAACUAAAGUGUUUUCCGUGAUAGUUCCUACUGCAUAAAUAGACUAGAAAGUACUUAGUCGAUCCGAAGGUCGAGGGUGGUAGGGGGCGACUGAGUUCUUAACUUAAAAGAUGAGGGGGAAAGGGUGGAAAACUGAAGGCACAAGUCUAUUUAUUGAUUUUUGAGCUUGCUUUGUGAUCUUUUGUUUCUUGGUUGUUGCGCCUAUAUUUUUCCUACUUAUUUAAUUCAUUCUUUGCUGCAUUUUGCAGUUUUAUAAUUGAUCUGUUACACAUUAUAUUUUUGUUUGUUAUAAUUGAUCUGUUACAUAUAUUAUAUUUUUGUUUGUUAUACUGUGCCUGACGUUUUUCUACUUUUUCUAAUCCACUUUUUGCUACCUUGCACCAUAAUUAAUUAAUACAUACAUAGAUAGCAUCCUAUUUUUCUUUGUCUCAUAUGCCCUGACAAAUACGUGCUAUAUAAGUGUUUCUUUGAUAUGUAAACCCCAUUGAUUGUCAAAUCUUGGUUUCUUAAUAUAUAUGUUAAAUGUUUUUAUAGGCUCUUUCCUAGUUACUUACUACACACAUUCCCUUUUUACUUUGGCAUUCGGUUUGCUGUAAUUGCAUCUAAAAAAAAGAAACCGUGGGCCUUGGAAGCUGGUUGGACACUCAAUUAGUGUCAAGUAAAGAUACUUUCUAUGAGGUUAGUGUUGCCACUACUGUAGCAGAGUGACUGACCUUUCUCAUGAUUUUAAUAUUUUUGCAAUGCAGGAAUGGAAACUGCAGCUUGUUGCCACUAUGUACAAUACAUGGAAUCUAGACUACUUUGAUUUCUGUAUAUUUGGUCAAGAUCCUCAACAAUUUAAUUUGACUUAACAUCUCUUAUAUGCCAGUUCAGUAGUUUGUACAUAGUCUACUGUGUUUGAGUUUGUUUUCUUUACCUGUCCGUUUGAUGAUUAUGAUUGAUACAACAAAUUCUGGUUUACUGAGUGAACAUAAGAACAGAUUAAUAGUGUUGUAAUAUACUAUUCAACUUAACUAUGAGUUGUAAUGUUACCCCGUUCUAAAA